CUGUGUGCUGGGCCAGCUGGAGCUCUUCCCCUUGGAGUCAUCUUCACAUCUUCUCAGGAUGAAGAAAGCUAUACUGCAGGUUUUCAGUUACUGAGGAAGGUGCUCGGUGAGACUGCCUUUUUCCAACAAGGGCAUCCAGCUUGUUUCAUAACAGACAACAGUGACGCUGAGCGUAAUGCCUUGAAGACUGUAUGGCCAGAAUCUCAGCGCUUUCUGUGCAUAUUCCACAUCCUGCAGCAGGUCUGGAGGUGGCUGUGUGAUGGUUCACAUGGCAUCAAGAAGGAAGAUCGCCGAGUACUAAUGACAGUGGCAAAGAAUCUGGUAUAUGCUGAUUCAGAUGAAACAUUUCAAGAUGAAUGGAAUUGCUUUUGUCAGACCCCAGAAGCCCAAAAGUAUAACCAGUACAUGAGAUAUAGGCUACCGUACAAGAGGGAAAAAAUACAUACGUUGGUAUCUGGCAAAGCUGAUAGAAAGGAAGGAAGAAUGGAGUACUGUGUACAGGGCUGGAUUUUUGCUACGUGGACACCACACAAAUAAUUUUGCAGAAUCUACCAUGUGCAUCAUUAAAGAUAUCAUUCUCAACAGGUUAGUGUGCCAUUUGUCAUUAUAUAUACCUCAGUCAAGCUAUAAACGUCUAAUAGGUCGAUGAACGGGGUCGUUCAUAGCGAAUUCGUUCAUAGUUAAUACUGUAU